CCUACGGGAGGCAGCAGUGAGGAAUAUUGGUCAAUGGUCGGGAGACUGAACCAGCCAAGUCGCGUGAGGGAUGAAGGUACAGAGUAUCGUAAACCUCUUUUGUCAGGGAAUAAAGGCGGGGACGUGUCCCCGGAUGAGUGUACCUGAAGAAAAAGCAUCGGCUAAUUCCGUGCCAGCAGCCGCGGUAAUACGGGGGAUCCGAGCGUUAUCCGGAUUUAUUGGGUUUAAAGGGUGCGAAGGCGGUCUGUUAAGUCAGCGGUAAAAGUCCGGGGCUAAACCCGGGCCUGCAGUUGAAACUGGCAGUCUCGAGUUGGAGAGAAGUAUGCGGAAUGCGCGGUGUAGCGGUGAAAUGCAUAGAUAUCGCGAAGAACUCCGAUUGCGAAGGCAGCAUGCUGGCUCCAAACUGACGCUGAGGCACGAAAGCGUGGGUAUCGAACAGGAUUAGAUACCCUUGUAGUC
rnacentral:rRNA from 1 species